rnacentral:tRNA from 1 species
CCUGGUAGCGCAUCUGGUUUGGGACCAGAGGGUCGUAGGUUCGAAUCCUAUCGC